CCCCUAGAUGUUCUGGGCCGCACGCGCGCUACACUGAUUCAUGCAACAAGUUUUUCCUUGGCUGAUAGGCCUGGGUAAUCUUUGAACGUGAAUCGUGAUGGGGAUAGAUGAUUGCAAUUAUUCAUCUUCAACGAGGAAUUCCUAGUAAACGCAAGCCAUCAGCUUGCAUUGAUUACGUCCCUGCCCUUUGUACACACCGCCCGUCGCACCUACCGAUUGAAUGGUCCGGUGAAAUCUUCGGAUCUGAGAGAUGUCUGAUUAAUUUCGGACGCCUUUUGGAAAAGUUGUUUAAACCUUACCAUUUAGAGGAAGGUGAAGUCGUAACA
rnacentral:rRNA from 1 species